rnacentral:rRNA from 1 species
AUUGAACGCUGGCGGCAGGCCUAACACAUGCAAGUCGAACGGUAGCACAGAGAGCUUGCUCUCGGGUGACGAGUGGCGGACGGGUGAGUAAUGUCUGGGAAACUGCCCGAUGGAGGGGGAUAACUACUGGAAACGGUAGCUAAUACCGCAUAACGUCUUCGGACCAAAGUGGGGGACCUUCGGGCCUCACACCAUCGGAUGUGCCCAGAUGGGAUUAGCUAGUAGGUGGGGUAAUGGCUCACCUAGGCGACGAUCCCUAGCUGGUCUGAGAGGAUGACCAGCCACACUGGAACUGAGACACGGUCCAGACUCCUACGGGAGGCAGCAGUGGGGAAUAUUGCACAAAGGGCGCAAGCCUGAUGCAGCCAUGCCGCGUGUAUGAAGAAGGCCUUCGGGUUGUAAAGUACUUUCAGCGGGGAGGAAGGCGAUGAGGUUAAUAACCGCAUCGAUUGACGUUACCCGCAGAAGAAGCACCGGCUAACUCCGUG